rnacentral:lncRNA from 1 species
GGCCAUUCAUCCUUCUUCCAACUUCUGAGUCCUCUUCCUUCUGUGCCACUGUCCCCUCCUCCGUGCCGGAGUCUUCUCCUCUCUGUUUCACUGUUGAAACAGAGAGAAAAACACUCCACAAAGGUUCUGGGGACUCCCCCCUUUCAUAGUUUAAAACCACUUUCUUAAGUAAACUGGGUCUUACCUGGUUUCGGGUUGGCUGUGCCGAGCAGAACCUUCCCAAAAUCCCUCCUCUCUCUCUCCUGGGGCUUCUGAGUUCCUCCACCUUCCGCUCCAAGAGGUCCGGCUUCU